AAGGAAAAAGUCACCUACAUCUUUGAUAGCCUGAGGGUUCCCGGUUGGGUUAGUUUGGGGGUAGGACCUUGCUUGUCUCGUCAAACAUUCAACCAAUGUGCAAACAACUUGCCACUCACUUCUACAUCCUUGUCCCUCCCCCAACUUGAUUCACCACUUGAGGUCUGGAUCAUUUAUCUGUCAGGGAGAGAGAAAGAGAAGGAUGGAUGGAAAGGAAGGGACUGGUGGGGAAGGGAGGGUUGGGUUGAUGCAUCUUUAGCCAUUUAAAAAUAAGAAAACAAAAAGAGAAACCUGCUCUGAAAGCCCAUUAUAUUUGCAAUUUUUCCCCCUUUGUAGUUUUGUUCUGUACUAUGGGCGAUGAGCAGUAGAGAGAACUUGAUCAGUUCGGCUACUUUAAGUUCAUUAGUGAGAGGAAAUGCCAUCCAGUGUGAUGAGCCCUGCACAUACUCUUCUCUUGUAACUAGAUAAAAAGGGAAAAUAUGCAUCCAAUCAAAAUGCAGACUGGUUUAAAAUUGUCCCUUUUUCUUUUCUUUUUCUUUUGGUAUUGGUAUGUUCUUUUCGUGGUUGGGGAUUAUGUGCAAUGCCAGUGAAGUAAAUAAAAUAUUUACAAAGC